UCGCGACCUGAGCCGAAGUCGGACGCUUAACCGACUGAGCCACGCAGGCGCCCCGCCUUUCAGUAUUUCUUUUCGUUUUUUUUUUUUUUUUUUUUUUUUUUUUUUGCCCCCUACAGUGGAGGCCCCCAGUUCCAAAACUUCCAGUUUACAGAUUACACGUGUGUGAUGGGUAUGGAAGAGUCCGGUAUGAGAAGUCAGGGUGUUGCCGGCAGCUGGUGGCCGCAGAUAGAGCAGUGGAGUUCAGGGUUAGGGGGAGGUCGCAGAGGUGCGGGCUGGACUCUGGUGUGUUUAUCUCAAAGCUGGAUUUCUAUCCCUCUCUUUUAAACCUUAUAACAACCUUCCUUCAGUAAUCCUGGGUACCAGGAGUGCCGUUGAGGCCCGAGGGCGGGGCCUGUAUGUUGUUUGGGGAUCGAUCUCCGUACUCCAGAAGCUGCAAGCCUCAAGAUCCACCCUACCAGUCGACCAGCUUUUUCAGCCGAGAGACUACGGCCCACCUUCCCCAAGUCCUGUGUCUGUAGAGUCCGGCGAGGUACCGCCUGUGGCGGCCAUUCGAUUAAUUUCAAAGAUACAACAUGGUGUAACGGGACAACAGGGGACGUGGAGUUCGGAGUCAGAAGACUGAGGUUCGACGCAGACUAAUCGCUGGGGUAGAAACCAGAUAGUGGUCGAGGGUUGAGGGUUGAGUGGUUCUGGGAAAGGGCCGGAGGGGAUUUUCUAGGGGUUAGAAAUGUUCUAUACCCUUUGCGGGAGGUAGUUACAUAAGCAUAUCCAUCGGCCCAAAUCCAGCAAAGACGCCGAUGAUCCGUGCAUUUUAUCGAAUGCAAAUUGUAUAGCAACUGUCUCUCCUACUGUCCAGACAACUCCUUCGUCUCUAUGAGCCUUCGUUUCCGGUCUGAAAAAUGGAAGGACGACUUCUACCCGUGCCGUGGGUGAUCACACAUAUUAUUAAAUGGGACCACGUGAGUCCAACGUGCUUUGUACACGAUAGAAAGCCCUGUGCACGGUGGCUACCAUUGUUCUGCUUUUCGUCUAGCUGCCUUCUAGAGCAGAUUGAGUUGGUACAAAUCUGUGGGCUCUGCCCUGCAAAUUUCCCUUGGAGAUUAGUGUUUAUCUGUCUAUUUUAAGGAGACUCUGGAGGUAUCAAAAUGCUGCAGAAAAGCAAAUGGAAUAUGGAUUUGCUGGGGAGGGGAGGGCGGGCCGGAAAGGGAACAGCUGAGGAGCAAGCCAUCAAUCCAGCCGGGCAGCAGGGCCAGCCGGGUGCCGAGAGGGAGCCGCUUAAUGCCUGUGAGAGAGUCGUGACCAGGAAAAGCAACGCAUUUUGCAACUGGAUUGAAGGUGCCACUCACGACAAUUCUUUGAGGAAGGCGGUCAGCAACUAUUUUUCUCAUUUCAGGAAGAGGUGACCUCAGCCAGAAGGAUUAAGGACUUACUCUGUCUUCUGUGUCAUCCUUACCGGGCUGACCCUUUCCACUCUGCAGGCUGCCUUUGAUGGCACAUAAAAACAAGCAAAACGAAAGGCAAAAGCAAAAAUGA